rnacentral:rRNA from 1 species
AUUGAACGCUGGCGGCAGGCUUAACACAUGCAAGUCGAACGAGUGGCGGACGGGUGAGUAAUGUCUGGGAAACUGCCUGAUGGAGGGGGAUAACUACUGGAAACGGUAGCUAAUACCGCAUCCCAUCAGAUGUGCCAAGAUGGGAUUAGCUAGUUGGUGGGGUAAAGGCGCACCAAGGAGACGAUCCCUAGCUGGUCUGUGAGGAUGACCAGCCACACUGGGACUGAGACACGGUCCAGACUCCGACGUGAGGUAGCAGUGGGGAAUAUUGCACAAUGGGCGCAAGCCUGAUACAGCCAUGCCGCGUGUAUGAAGAAGGCCUUCGGGUUGUAAAGUACUUUCAGCAGGGAGGCGUUACCCGCAGAAGAAGCACCGGCUAACUCCGUGCCAGCAGCCGCGGUAAUUC